GAACGUGCCUUUAGGUUCGGAAUAACUCAGGGAAACUUGUGCUAAUACCGAAUGUGCCCUUCGGGGGAAAGAUUUAUCGCCUUUAGAGCGGCCCGCGUCUGAUUAGCUAGUUGGUGGGGUAAUGGCCCACCAAGGCUACGAUCAGUAGCUGGUCUGAGAGGAUGACCAGCCACAUUGGGACUGAGACACGGCCCAAACUCCUACGGGAGGCAGCAGUGGGGAAUCUUGCGCAAUGGGCGAAAGCCUGACGCAGCCAUGCCGCGUGGAUGAUGAAGGUCUUAGGAUUGUAAAAUCCUUUCACCGGUGAAGAUAAUGACUGUAGCCGGAGAAGAAGCCCCGGCUAACUUCGUGCCAGCAGCCGCGGUAAUACGAAGGGGGCUAGCGUUGCUCGGAAUUACUGGGCGUAAAGGGAGCGUAGGCGGACAUUUAAGUCAGGGGUGAAAUCCCAGAGCUCAACUCUGGAACUGCCUUUGAUACUGGAUGUCUUGAGUGUGAGAGAGGUAAGUGGAACUCCGAGUGUAGAGGUGAAAUUCGUAGAUAUUCGGAAGAACACCAGUGGCGAAGGCGACUUACUGGCUCAUUACUGACGCUGAGGCUCGAAAGCGUGGGGAG
rnacentral:rRNA from 1 species